AAGUCGUAACAAGGUCUCCGUAGGUGAACCUGCGGAGGGAUCAUUACCGAGUGGAGGGCGCUCCGGCGCCCGACCUCCCAACCCUUUGAUUUGAUCAAGACCUCCUUCUGCCUCGGGGGCGACCCGGCCUUCGGCGGCGGUCCCCCGGCGGUACCCAACCUCAACCCUGCAUCAAUUGUCGUCUGAGCAUUGAAGCGAAUUCAAUCAAAACUUUCAACAACGGAUCUCUUGGUUCUGGCAUCGAUGAAGAACGCAGCGAAAUGCGAUAAGUAAUGUGAAUUGCAGAAUUCAGUGAAUCAUCGAAUCUUUGAACGCACAUUGCGCCCUUUGGCAUUCCGAAGGGCAUGCCUGUUCGAGCGUCAUUACACCAAUCAAGCCUGGCUUGGUAUUGGGCGCCGGGGGGCGACCCGGGCCUCAAAGUCGUCGGCUGGCAAGCCCUGAUCUCAGCGUCGUGAUUAAUCAAAUUCGCUUUGCAGAGGAGUGAGCCGUGCCGGUUAAGCACUAUCUAAAGGUUGACCUCGGAUCGGGUAGGAAUACCCGCUGAACUUAA
rnacentral:rRNA from 1 species